rnacentral:rRNA from 1 species
AGAGUUUGAUCCUGGCUCAGGAUGAACGUUGGUAGCAUGCCUAACAUAUGCAAGUCGAGCGGAAAAUGGUAGCAACUAUCAUUUUUAGCGGCGUACGGGUGAGUAAUGCUUAUCUUACCUACCAUUUAGUGGGGGAUAAAAUACCGCAUAUUCUUUGGCUUCGGCUUCGGCCGCGGGCAAAGGAAAGGGAGCCUUUGGGCUUUCGCUAAAUGAUGGGGAUAAGUCGCAUCAAUCAACAGCUGAUGAAAGUGGGGUAAUGGCCUACUGAGGCAAUGACGCGUAGCCAGGCUGAGAGGCUGAUUGGCCACAAGGGAACUGAAACACGGUCCCUACUCCUACGGGAGGCAGCAAUGGGGAAUCGUCGGCAAUGGGGGAAACCCUGACCGCGCAAUGCUACGUGAAGGAGGAAGGUCUACGGAUUGUAAACUUCUUUACUCAGGUGUACUCCUAAAAACUUGCAUCUGAGCAAAAAGCCACGACUAACUACGUGCCAGCAGUCGCGGUAAGACGUAGGUGGCGAACGUUAUCCGGAAUUAUUGGGCGUAAAGGGUGCGCAGAUGGUCUGACAAGUUGGUAGUGGUAAAUCGAGGCUCAACCUCGUGGAAGCUGGUAAUACUGUCUGACUCGAGUGCAGGAGAGGUUAACGGAACUCCAUGUGGAGCGGUAAAAUGCGUANAUAUAUGGAAGAACACCNAUAACG